rnacentral:rRNA from 1 species
CCUACGGGGUGCUGCAGUGGGGAAUAUUGGGCAAUGGGCGCAAGCCUGACCCAGCAACGCCGCGUGAAGGAAGAAGGCUUUCGGGUUGUAAACUUCUUUUGUCAGGGACGAAGCAAGUGACGGUACCUGACGAAUAAGCCACGGCUAACUACGUGCCAGCAGCCGCGGUAAUACGUAGGUGGCAAGCGUUAUCCGGAUUUACUGGGUGUAAAGGGCAUGUAGGCGGGGAAGCAAGUCAGAUGUGAAAACCACGGGCUCAACCUGUGGCCUGCAUUUGAAACUGUUUUUCUUGAGUGCUGGAGAGGCAAUCGGAAUUCCGGGUGUAGCGGUGAAAUGCGUAGAUAUACGGAGGAACACCAGUGGCGAAGGCGACUAUCUGGCACAUAACUGACGCUGAGGAGCGAAAGCGUGGGUAGCAAACAGGAUUAGAUACCCCUGUAGUC